CGGUAAUACGUAGGGCGCAAGCGUUGUCCGGAAUUAUUGGGCGUAAAGAGCUCGUAGGCGGCUUGUCACGUCGGUUGUGAAAGCCCGGGGCUUAACCCCGGGUCUGCAGUCGAUACGGGCAGGCUAGAGUUCGGUAGGGGAGAUCGGAAUUCCUGGUGUAGCGGUGAAAUGCGCAGAUAUCAGGAGGAACACCGGUGGCGAAGGCGGAUCUCUGGGCCGAUACUGACGCUGAGGAGCGAAAGCGUGGGGAGCGAACAGGAUUAGAUACCCUGGUAGUCCACGCCGUAAACGGUGGGCACUAGGUGUGGGCAACAUUCCACGUUGUCCGUGCCGCAGCUAACGCAUUAAGUGCCCCGCCUGGGGAGUACGGCCGCAAGGCUAAAACUCAAAGGAAUUGACGGGGGCCCGCACAAGCGGCGGAGCAUGUGGCUUAAUUCGACGCAACGCGAAGAACCUUACCAAGGCUUGACAUACACCGGAAAGCAUUAGAGAUAGUGCCCCCCUUGUGGUCGGUGUACAGGUGGUGCAUGGCUGUCGUCAGCUCGUG
rnacentral:rRNA from 1 species